rnacentral:tRNA from 1 species
UGGAGAGUUGUCCGAGAGGCCGAAGGAGCACGAUUGGAAAUCGUGUAAACAGGAAACUGUUUCGAGGGUUCGAAUCCCUUACUCUCCGU